rnacentral:rRNA from 1 species
CCCCUAGAGUGGCGAACGGCUGAGUAACACGUAGGAACCUACCCUUGGGCUCGGGAUAACAGACCGAAAGGUCUGCUAAUACCGAAUACAUCUACCAAGAGGAAAGAUUUAUCACCCGAGGAGGGGCCUGCGGCGUAUUAGCUUGUUGGUGGGGUAACGGCCUACCAAGGCAGUGAUGCGUAGCUGGUCUGAGAGGACGAUCAGCCAGACUGGGACUGAGACACGGCCCAG